UUGAUAUGAAAGACAUGGGUAGUGAGAUGCAGAGCUAUUCGCAGCUCGUUACCCUGUCUUUCGUAUUCAC
rfam:Macrostomum lignano uti_cns_0007381, whole genome shotgun sequence.